CCGGAGAAUGUUAUCACGGGAGACACACGGCGGGUGCUAACGUCCGUCGUGAAGAGGGAAACAACCCAGACCGCCAGCUAAGGUCCCAAAGUCAUGGUUAAGUGGGAAACGAUGUGGGAAGGCCCAGACAGCCAGGAUGUUGGCUUAGAAGCAGCCAUCAUUUAAAGAAAGCGUAAUAGCUCACUGGUCGAGUCGGCCUGCGCGGAAGAUGUAACGGGGCUAAACCAUGCACCGAAGCUGCGGCAGCGACGCUGAUGCGUUGUUGGGUAGGGGAGCGUUCUGUAAGCCUGUGAAGGUGKSYYGUGAGGSWUGCUGGAGGUAUCAGAAGUGCGAAUGCUGACAUAAGUAACGAUAAAGCGGGUGAAAAGCCCGCUCGCCGGAAGACCAAGGGUUCCUGUCCAACGUUAAUCGGGGCAGGGUGAGUCGACCCCUAAGGCGAGGCCGAAAGGCGUAGUCGAUGGGAAACGGGUUAAUAUUCCCGUACUUGGUGUUACUGCGAAGGGGGGACGGAGAAGGCUAUGUUGGCCGGGCGACGGUUG
rnacentral:rRNA from 1 species